CUGGUUUAUGAGGGAAAAAGGAAGAGAACUUGCUGCCGAUUUUGAGAGGGAGAAAUGAGGGAAAUUGCUGUCGAUUUUGAGAGGGAAAAAGAAAGAGACUUGCUGCCAGUUUUGAGAGGGAAAAAGAAAGAGUCUUGCUGCCGGAUUCAGGAGGAAAAAGAGAGACAAAGAAUCGGGAAAGAAAGAAGAAAGAAAGGUAAAAAUAUAUAUAUAUAUAUUAAAUAUAAAAAUAUAGAUAUAAUAAUAUAUAUCUACUAAAAUAAUAAUAAUAGAAUAAGAUGAUAAGAAUAAAAAAUAAAAUAAAAUAAAGUAAAGUAUAGAUAUAUAUAUAUUAAUGGGUUUCAAUGUAUAGGAGAAAUAAGUAACGGUGGAACACUGUGGUGGCAGGUCGAAGAAAAAUAACGAACGGCCGGUAGGAAGAAAUAACUAGAUACGUUUACGAAUUAAUAGCGACGUAAUAUCCCGUUAUUAUGAGGUGAG
rnacentral:lncRNA from 1 species